rnacentral:rRNA from 1 species
GACGAACGCUGGCGGCGUGCUUAACACAUGCAAGUCGAACGGAAAGGCCUCUUUCGGGGGGUACUCGAGUGGCGAACGGGUGAAUAACACGUGAGUAACCUGCCCUUGACUUUGGGAUAACUUCAGGAAACUGGGGCUAAUACCGGAUAGGAGCUCCUGCUGCAUGGUGGGGGUUGGAAAGUUUCGGCGGUUGGGGAUGGACUCGCGGCUUAUCAGCUUGUUGGUGGGGUAGUGGCUUACCAAGGCUUUGACGGGUAGCCGGCCUGAGAGGGUGACCGGCCACAUUGGGACUGAGAUACGGCCCAGACUCCUACGGGAGGCAGCAGUGGGGAAUAUUGCACAAUGGGUGGAAGCCUGAUGCAGCAACGCCGUGUGCGGGAUGACGGCCUUCGGGUUGUAAACCGCUUUCGCUCAUGACGAAGCUUUGUGUGACGGUAGUGGGUAAAGAAGCACCGGCUAACUACGU